rnacentral:rRNA from 1 species
GGGGAAUAUUGGGCAAUGGGCGAAAGCCUGACCCAGCAACGCCGCGUGAAGGAAGAAGGCCCUCGGGUUGUAAACUUCUUUUAUCAGGGACGAAACAAAUGACGGUACCUGAUGAAUAAGCCACGGCUAACUACGUGCCAGCAGCCGCGGUAAUACGUAGGUGGCAAGCGUUAUCCGGAUUUACUGGGUGUAAAGGGCGUGUAGGCGGGCCUGCAAGUCAGGUGUGAAAUUCCAGGGCUCAACCCUGGAACUGCACUUGAAACUGUGGGUCUCGAGUGAUGGAGAGGCAGGCGGAAUUCCGUGUGUAGCGGUGAAAUGCGUAGAUAUACGGAGGAACACCAGUGGCGAAGGCGGCCUGCUGGACAUUAACUGACGCUGAGGCGCGAAAGCGUGGGGAGCAAAC